rnacentral:rRNA from 1 species
UACGGAGGGUGCGAGCGUUGUCCGGAGUCACUGGGCGUAAAGCGCGCGCAGGCGGUCUUCCAAGUCAGUGGUGAAAGCCCGGAGCUCAACUCCGGAACUGCCAUUGAAACUGUUGGACUUGAGUACGAGAGAGGUGAGUGGAAUUCCCAGUGUAGAGGUGAAAUUCGUAGAUAUUGGGAAGAACACCGGUGGCGAAGGCGGCUCACUGGCUCGUAACUGACGCUCAGGCGCGACAGCGUGGGGAUCAAACAGG